AGGACGAACGCUGGCGGCGCGCUUAACACAUGCAAGUCGAGCGAGAACCAGGACUUCGGUCCUGGGGACAGCGGCGAACGGGUGAGUAACACGUGGAUAACCUGCCCUCGGCACCGGGAUAGCCCGAGGAAACUCGGAUUAAUACCGGAUAGCCCUUCCGACUCUCGAGUCGGUCCGAAAAGGUAGCUUCGGCCUCUGGCCGAGGAUGGGUCCGCGGCGGAUUAGCUUGUUGGUGGGGUAACGGCCUACCAAGGCUUCGAUCCGUAGCUGGUCUGAGAGGACGAUCAGCCACCCUGGGACUGAGACACGGCCCAGACUCCUACGGGAGGCAGCAGUGGGGAAUCUUGCGCAAAUGGGCGAAAAGCCUGACGCAGCGACGCCGCGUGAGGGAAGAAGGCCUGGUUGUAACUACUUCUA
rnacentral:rRNA from 1 species